AUUGAACGCUGGCGGCAGGCCUAACACAUGCAAGUCGAGCGGAGCGGCGGACGGGUGAGUAAUGCCUAGGAAUCUGCCUGGUAGUGGGGGAUAACGUCCGGAAACGGGCGCUAAUCCCGCAUACUAUCAGAUGAGCCUCUGUCGGAUUAGCUAGUUGGUGGGGUAGAGGCCUACCAAGGCGACGAUCCGUAACUGGGCCGAGAGGAUGAUCAGUCACACUGGAACUGAGACACGGUCCAGACUCCUACGGGAGGCAGCAGUGGGGAAGAUUGGACAAUGGGCGAAAGCCUGAUCCAGCAAUGCCGCGUGUGUGAAGAAGGUAUUCGGAUUGUAAAGCACUUUAAGUUGGGAGGCGUUACCAACAGAAUAAGCACCGGCUAACUACGUGCCAGCAGCCGCGGUAAUUC
rnacentral:rRNA from 1 species